UCGAGGAAGAUACUUAACCUCUCUGUAACUUGGUUGCCUCAUCUGUAAAACGGGGAUAAUACACAUCUACCUUACAGAGAAAGGAGCCAAUUCUUACAAAACGUCUAUAAUAGUAGCUGUCGCACAAUGGAGGACACAUCUUAAGGACAAGAAGCUUCUAGAAAUGCAAGACCACUUAUUUUGAUGGAUCCUCUCAGGUUGCUAUGUACAGGCACAUCUCUUACAGUCCACGAAAGGACAAGAAGCCUUUGAAAAUGUAACACUGGGUCACAGCAGACGCAUAGCCAUGUUGUCCUGCCAGACACAUUCCAAAGUAUUCUGUGUAACUGUGCAGAAUGAAGCUUGCCUUGGUAAAUAUAAACUAAACUUUCCUGGGGAAAAACAGCUAUUUGAACAAGUGUGAGUUUCCUUGUGUAAUGAAUACUGUGGCUAAGGUUGGACAAAGUCCAAAUGAUCAAGGCGCAUUACAUUUUCUAAGAGAUAAUUGGAAAUUAUUUACACUUCCUUUGUAACCCUGCUAAAUGAGUUAGCAAACAUUUACCAAGUGUCUGCAAGAUAAAAACCACUAUAUUAAAUGCUUAGCAUGUGAUGUUUUUAAUAAUCCUUUGCAGAGAUGUGGCUGCACUCCUAGAAACUUUAUAGGUUUUCAGAGCCUAAAACCCUUCAGGGGAGUUUGCCAAAUGAAUUUUAAAUAAUGUCUUUGGAAGGCUAAGAAAUAUCAAUAGAAACUUCUUAUGUAUCCAGGUGCAAACUUAUAUUACAUUAACCUUGACUGAGUUUAUAUUUUAUAAAAGGUUCUUUCUCAAGAGCUUUAUUUAAAAAAGACAAAAGCGAAACAAAAACUACAUAUUUGAUGGAAAGUAUUCGUUAUGUUUUACAGAAUAAAAUGCUUCAGAGCUUUUAAAAACUGUGCUCCCUGACAACUACAUUCCUUACUCCCAUAAAAUUUCUUUAGCCCUUUUGUCUUCUAAUAUGUCUUAUGCUCUAAUUGCCUAUAAACAGUUUAAUACAUAAUUUUAUCUUUCAUUGUUCCCAAACUGAUUAAUACAUCUGAAUCAUCUUUCUCUCUUACUUAAGGCCUUGCCUUCUAGGGGCCAUGCAUGUCUUUAAUAUUCUCUCCCUCAAUGCCUAGUUCAGUAUGUGGCAUAAAGCAGAAAUAACCAGACAUAUGAAUAAAAUCAAUACUGCUAAAGCUAGUAAUAUCUGCAAUCAUCACAUUUACAUUACUUUUGUAAUGUAAAACUAAAUCGAUGCAACAGUAAUGAAGUGUGGUUUUGUCCCUUGAAAUACUUAGCAUGUAACCUUUUACCUUCGUGUUUAAUCUUGUUAGGUAGAUGGCGAACCUCUUAAUAUCUUCACUUUAUUGAGGCCCAGAAAUUUGUGGAAUCUUGCACAAGGUCAAAGAGCUGAUUAGCCAAGACUAGUAUCAAGCUUUUUAAUCAAAUACAUAAUUCAGUCUUGGUCUCCUGACUUCAGCCUGCUAUACUUCCCACAAAUGACAGAGAACUCAAACUCAUGUCUGAGAAUCAUGUCUGUUUUCAUAAGAUCACAUAGUACAGAAGUCAACAAUUUCCUAGACAAGUAAAAGGGUAAACUAUUGCUUGAAUUUGAAAUUUAAUUCCACCCAAUUAAAAUGGUUAAGGGAUGGGACUUCUUUGCAAGAAAAGACUUAAAAAGAUCACGCCUUUCUAAAACAUGUGGAUGAUACAUAAAUUAAUCUGUUCAUCAAAUUUCAAAUAUCAGAACCAAAGGUAGUUUCAUAACAAUUAGAAGAAGUUAUUACUUUUUCUAUUUCCCUGUCUUCAAGGUCUAAUUAAAGAAUCAUUUUCUUCAAGAAGACUUCCUAACUAUCCAGCAUUUGGUUGUUGCUCUCCUGACAUUCAAUUCAACUGUUAGUUGGUUAGCAGAAGAUACUUAGCUUUAAUCUUUGUUUCUAUAUGACCAUCUUAUCUGUCUCAAUAGAAAGCAAGUUCUUAUGUGCUGAUACCUCUGGAGCCCUGGUAUACUGCAGGCAACAUUUCUGAGGAUGAUGAUAAUGAUGUAACAGAACUUAUUUCCUUAAUCCAUGUUAUAAAUAAAAAUGUAAAUAUUCAAGAAGAAUUUAAGUACAUUGAAGAUAUAUUUGUAACCCAUUAUUAACAGAAGCUCAAGUUGUGUCUGCAAUGUGGAUGGCACUCCCUUAUUCAGGAUGCAACCUGAACACCAACCCACAGAGGCCUGGCCUUAGGAAUAUCACAGAUAACACUAGGAGUUUUUAAAAGAGAGAUAUUACAUGUUGCCAGGGAAACCCUGAAAGGCUUUGUGGAAGGUACCAUCAGAGCUAUGUGGUAGUAAGAGGGGUAGGUUUAAACUACAGACAAAAGGGGUAUCUGGGUGUCUCAGUCGGUUAGGUGUCCAGCUUUGGCUUAGGUCGUGAUCUCAUUGUUUGUGGGUUCAAGCCCCGCAUUGGGCUCUGUGCUGAUAGCUCACAGCC